rnacentral:rRNA from 1 species
CCAGUACCGUGAGGGAAAGGCGAAAAGAACCCCGGAGAGGGGAGUGAAAUAGAACCUGAAACCGUAUGCGUACAAGCAGUGGGAGCCUACUUUGUUAGGUGACUGCGUACCUUUUGUAUAAUGGGUCAGCGACUUAUAUUCAGUGGCGAGCUUAACCGAAUAGGGGAGGCGUAGCGAAAGCGAGUCUUAAUAGGGCGUUUAGUCGCUGGGUAUAGACCCGAAACCGGGCGAUCUAUCCAUGGGCAGGUUGAAGGUUAGGUAACACUGACUGGAGGACCGAACCGACUACCGUUGAAAAGUUAGCGGAUGACCUGUGGAUCGGAGUGAAAGGCUAAUCAAGCUCGGAGAUAGCUGGUUCUCCUCGAAAGCUAUUUAGGUAGCGCCUCAUGUAUCACUGUAGGGGGUAGAGCACUGUUUCGGCUAGGGGGUCAUCCCGACUUACCAAACCGAUGCAAACUCCGAAUACCUACAAGUGCCGAGCAUGGGAGACACACGGCGGGUGCUAACGUCCGUCGUGAAAAGGGAAACAACCCAGACCGUCAGCUAAGGUCCCAAAGUCAUGGUUAAGUGGGAAACGAUGUGGGAAGGCUUAGACAGCUAGGAGGUUGGCUUAGAAGCAGCCACCCUUUAAAGAAAGCGUAAUAGCUCACUAGUCGAGUCGGCCUGCGCGGAAGAUGUAACGGGGCUCAAACCAUGCACCGAAGCUACGGGUAUCACCUUUUGGUGAUGCGGUAGAGGAGCGUUCUGUAAGCCUGUGAAGGUGAGUUGAGAAGCUUGCUGGAGGUAUCAGAAGUGCGAAUGCUGACAUGAGUAACGACAAUGCGAGUGAAAAACUCGCACGCCGAAAGACCAAGGUUUCCUGCGCAACGUUAAUCGACGCAGGGUUAGUCGGUCCCUAAGGCGAGGCUGAAAAGCGUAGUCGAUGGAAAACAGGUUAAUAUUCCUGUACUUCCAGUUAUUGCGAUGGAGGGACGGAGAAGGUUAGGCCAGCCUGGCGUUGGUUGUCCAGGUUUAAGGUGGUAGGCUGAAAUCUUAGGCAAAUCCGGGAUUUCAAGGCCGAGAGCUGAUGACGAGUUGC